rnacentral:rRNA from 1 species
AAUGAACGCUGGCGGCGUGCCUAACACAUGCAAGUCGAGCGAGAAAGUCCCCUUCGGGGGCGAGUAAAGCGGCGCACGGGUGAGUAACGCGUGGGUAACCUGCCCUUGAGUGGGGGAUAACCAGCCGAAAGGCUGACUAAUCCCGCAUACGACCGGCAGACACAAGUCUGUCGGGGAAAGAUGGCCUCUGCUUGCAAGCUAUCGCUCUUGGAUGGGCCCGCGUUGGAUUAGCUAGUUGGUGGGGUAACGGCCUACCAAGGCUGCGAUCCAUAGCUGGUUUGAGAGGACGACCAGCCACACUGGAACUGAGACACGGUCCAGACUCCUACGGGAGGCAGCAGUGAGGAAUAUUGCGCAAUGGGGGAAACCCUGACGCAGCGACGCCGUGUGAGCGAUGAAGGCCUUCGGGUCGUAAAGCUCUGUCAGAGGGAAAGAAAGGGUCGGCGGAAUAAUACCCGCCGACAUUGACGGUACCCUCGGAGGAAGCACCGGCUAACUCCGUG